rnacentral:rRNA from 1 species
AACGCGAAGAACCUUACCUACACUUGACAUCCUCGGAACCCUGCAGAGAUGCAGGGGUGCCUUCGGGAGCCGAGAGACAGGUGCUGCAUGGCUGUCGUCAGCUCGUGUCGUGAGAUGUUGGGUUAAGUCCCGUAACGAGCGCAACCCUUGUCCUUAGUUGCCAGCGGGUAAUGCCGGGAACUUUAAGGAGACUGCCGGUGAUAAACCGGAGGAAGGUGGGGAUGACGUCAAGUCCUCAUGGCCUUUAUGUGUAGGGCUACACACGUGCUACAAUGGGAAGUACAGAGGGUUGCCAACCCGCGAGGGGGAGCUAAUCUCAAAAAACUUUUCGUAGUCCGGAUUGGAGUCUGCAACUCGACUCCAUGAAGUUGGAAUCGCUAGUAAUCGCGAAUCAGAACGUCGCGGUGAAUACGUUCCCGGGCCUUGUACACACCGACUGUAC